CAUCACUAAGGCACCGGAAUUCUACACGUCUAUGUAUGCUGCCCCUUCCUACUACACCGAGGCGCCGCAUUACUAUAACACUGAAGCGCUUAAGUACUACACUACUACCUACGCUGCCCCGAGCUACUACACCUACGUCCCGAAGUAUUGCUGUGCGUAAAAGGAGUCGUAAAAAAAAAAGAAGUCGUGCCCGAACUACAGUGCCCUAUAUGUCACCAACUGCAUUCCUCAUCUUGUAACCGAUUCGUUAUUAUGGACAUCUAUGGCGUCGUGCUCCUAUUGUGUCUAUUGUUCGUUGAUUGGUGGGUCGACCGCUGGUGUAGCGAUGCCUCCUUGGUAAGGCGGAAACCAAACCGCAACGCCGGUUUCUUCCUACACAACUUACGCAACGACCAGUUCCUGCACCGAGGUCUUCAAGUACUACACCCCUAAGGCACCGGAGUUUUAUACCACAACUUACGCUGCCCCGAGCCACUACACUGAAGCCCUGAAGUAUGAUUCUACCCUGAGUUACUACACCAUCUAGGCGAUGGAGUGCUACAUGAUUACGUAUGCUGCCCAUCCUACUACACCGAGGCUCCCAAGUGCUACACCGAGGCUCCCGCUGAUUACUCCACCGAAGCGGCAAAGUACUUCUCUGCCCUGAUCUACACAACCACAACUGAGGCGGCCAAGUAUUACGCAGUCCCGAGUUGCUACCCAAAAGCUGCCCUUUCGUGCUACGUUGAGCAAAAAUACUACACUGAUGCUCCUGUCUACUACACCACGACCUACGCUACACCUAGCUACAACACGGCAGCCCCCAAGUACUACACCGAAGAAGCCGCCUAUUACACAACUACGUACGCUGCCUAGUUUACUACUUCGAGGAAUUUAAGUAUUACCCUGCUCCAAACUACUACCAAACUGAGGUUCAUAUUUAUUGCAAUUCUCCCGAUUAUGUCACCACUACUCACGCUGUAUUUCUCUGUAUGUGUUGAAAGAUUGCUGGAAUGCAA